UGAAGUUUGUUUGGAUUAAA
rnacentral:snRNA from 1 species